CGCCCGAGUGGCGGUAGUCGGGCCGCGGCAUGUCGUCGCCGCCGCCGCCGCCCGCUCGGCGGGAGGGCGGCCGGGUGCUGGUGACGGGCCUGCCCGAGGGCUCGGAGUUCGGCAUCGACUGCCAGACGUGGCGGGUGGGGCCGCGUUUCGGCGGGCUGCGGGGGGUGCCGGCGGGGGUGCACUUCGUGCACUGCGGCCUGCCCCGCACGGGCGUCUUCGUGGUGCUGGGCCCUGGCGAGGCGGUGCUGCUGCGCUGGGACGAGGCCGAGGCCCGGCUGGGCCCGCCCGGCCCGGCCCCGGCCCCGACCCCGGCCCCGACCCCGACCCUGGCCCCCUACCCCCGCGGCCGGCGCCGCCGCUGGGCCGCCCUCAGCGCGCUGGUCGACCGGCGGGCGGUGGAGCGGCUGCAGCCGUCGUCCCGCACGGUGCUGGCGCAGGCCGAGGUCCUGCCGGUCCUGGCGCUGCCCACCCCCGCCGACCGCGCCCGGGCCCUGCCGCCCGCGCCCGCCCCCGCCUGCCGCUCCUACCGGGAGGGCCUCCGCCGCCUGCCCGCCCUGCGGCCCGGGCCCGGCACCCGCCUGCGCUUCACGCCCCUGCCCCGCAGGCUCUGCCCCCACGGCGCGCACCCGGCCGAGGUCACCCGGAACGCGCUCGACCGCACCUCCGCGCUGCGGGACGUGCUGCGACGGCGCUACCCGCACUGCCCCGGGGACCUCCUGGCCGAGUUGCAGUUCGCCUUCAUCUGUUUCCUGAUCGGGCACGUGUACGAUGCGUUCGAGCACUGGAAGGAGCUCCUGGACCUCCUGUGCCGGUCCGAAGUCGCCAUGACCGAGAUGCCCGACUUCUACAGCACCCUCAUCACCGUCCUGUACCACCAGCUGAAUGAAGUUCCACCCGACUUCUUUGUGGACAUCGUCUCCCAGGACAACUUUCUAACAACCACCUUACAGGCCCAUCAUUCCCUUGUUCUGCAGCGGGUGACCUGGGAGCUGUUGUAACAUUUGUCAUAUAACCUGGCAUCCUCCGGGCUCUUGGAGGCGAAUAGCAGGAUCUGUGGAAAAAUGAGGUCUUCUUCUCUUACAUCGGCAGCCCCACCGUCGACCGGGCCCUGAGGCGGAAGGCGGAAAAGUUCAAGGUUCACCUGACGAAGAAGUUCAAGUGGGAUUUUGAGGAGGAGCCCGAGGACUGCGCCCCGGUGGUUGUGGAACUUCCCGAGGGCGUCGUCAUCCCGGACUGAGGGGCCGACCGGCGGGACCCGGGAAUUCUGGUUUAUGGUUCAGGCUCCGACGCCUUCCCCGGUUGGUCCGCCCCUGAGGAGAAGAGAGGCCUCCUUCCUUUGGACCGAGAAGGGAAAGGGAAGACCCAAGUCCUCCCGAUUUAAACGUUCAUUCUUAUUUUCUUUUUCCCCCACCAAGGGAGCCCAUCCCGUUCUGGAGGAGAGCUCGCUCAUGAGAAACAACCAUUUCGGUUCUGUCUGAACACCGGUUCGCCCCCGUGGGGCCUUUGAAUUCAAGACGGCGGUAGGCUGUCCCAUUUAGUUUUAAAUACAUCCUCUCCCACUUCCCGAGACCCAAGAGAAAGCUCUUGUACGCCCGUCGAAACCACCCAGUAGCAUCUUUUAGCGUACGUCCCGAGUGUGCGUAACCGAGCAGAGUUGGACCUAUUAGCUCCGGGGCACCCUGGUGACUGAUGUUUCCACGGCAGUUUUUGCCGCUGCCAUAAUCCAGUAGCCAAGGAUUUCCUCCCUCCCGCCCCUCCAGCUGUUGUUUUUCAAGGUUCUGCGAAGGUCUCGGUAUUCUUGAUUCUGAGCAGUGGAAGUCUAAAUUAAAGCCCGAAGCCUCCGCCCGUCCUUUCCCCGCAGAAAGCCGCUAGCCGAUCUGACCGAACGAAUUGACAAAACUCAAGGAGGCUCAGGGGCUGCGCUCAUAGGUGAUUGGGCACGGCGUUAGGCUGCCACCCGGGGAGCCUGUGCUCCGAAAUGGCAGCGAUCCCCCCGCGGGUGCCGGGCUGCGGUUGUGAUGCUACUUGUCUUUACCCCAGCUCUUAAGCCCGAGUUUCUGAAUGAGACUCCCCACUGCGAAAGGUUUUAAAGUUCCAUUUGUUUCCUUGGAGAUUCCGUCACCGAAAUGUUGUAUACGAUCCAGGGCCUGCCUAUAAAACCCUUUUAAAUGGAAAA